GGAUGGGUGUCCGAGUGGCCGAAGGAGCACGAUUGGAAAUCGUGUAGGCGGUGUUGAACCGUCUCGUGGGUUCAAAUCCCACCCCAUCCGCCA
rnacentral:tRNA from 1 species